rnacentral:rRNA from 1 species
GAUGAACGCUAGCGGGAGGCCUAACACAUGCAAGCCGAGCGGUAUUUCUUCUUCGGAAGAGAGAGAGCGGCGUACGGGUGCGGAACACGUGUGCAACCUGCCUUUAUCUAGAGGAUAGCCUUUCGAAAGGAAGAUUAAUACUCUAUAAUAUAUUAAUUGGCAUCAAUUGAUAUUGAAAACUCCGGUGGAUAGAGAUGGGCACGCGCAAGAUUAGCUAGUUGGUGAGGUAACGGCUCACCAAGGCAAUGAUCUUUAGGGGGCCUGAGAGGGUGAUCCCCCACACUGGUACUGAGACACGGACCAGACUCCUACGGGAGGCAGCAGUGAGGAAUAUUGGUCAAUGGGUGCAAGCCUGAACCAGCCAUCCCGCGUGAAGGAUUAAGGUCCUAUGGAUUGUAAACUUCUUUUGUAUAGGGAUAAACCUACCCUCGUGAGGGUAGCUGAAGGUACUAUACGAAUAAGCACCGGCUAACUCCGUGCCAGCCGCCGCAGUAACAC